GAUGAACGCUGGCGGCGUGCCUAAUACAUGCAGGUCGAGCGAACAGACGAGGAGCUUGCUCCUCUGACGUUAGCGGCGGACGGGUGAGUAACACGUGGAUAACCUACCUAUAAGACUGGGAUAACUUCGGGAAACCGGAGCUAAUACCGGAUAAUAUAUUGAACCGCAUGGUUCAAUAGUGAAAGACGGUUUUGCUGUCACUUAUAGAUGGAUCCGCGCCGCAUUAGCUAGUUGGUAAGGUAACGGCUUACCAAGGCAACGAUGCGUAGCCGACCUGAGAGGGUGAUCGGCCACACUGGAACUGAGACACGGUCCAGACUCCUACGGGAGGCAGCAGUAGGGAAUCUUCCGCAAUGGGCGAAAGCCUGACGGAGCAACGCCGCGUGAGUGAUGAAGGUCUUCGGAUCGUAAAACUCUGUUAUUAGGGAAGAACAAAUGUGUAAGUAACUAUGCACGUCUGGACGGUACCUAAUCAGAAAGCCACGGCUAACUACGU
rnacentral:rRNA from 1 species